rnacentral:rRNA from 1 species
UACGUAGGGGGCAAGCGUUGUCCGGAAUCAUUGGGCGUAAAGAGCGUGUAGGCGGCCCGAUAAGUCCGCUGUGAAAGUCCAGGGCUCAACCCUGGGAUGCCGGUGGAUACUGUCGGGCUCGAGUCCGGAAGAGGAGUGUGGAAUUCCUGGUGUAGUGGUGAAAUGCGUAGAUAUCGGGAGGAACACCAGUGGCGAAGGCGACUACCUGGCCUGUUCUUGACGCUGAGGCGCGAAAGCUAGGGGAGCAAACGGG